AUUGCUUCUCAGCCUUUUGGCUAAGAUCAAGUGUAGUAACAAUGGUGUAUCUAGGUAUGAAUCUUUUUGUAUUCAUCCUAC
ensembl:snRNA U2 U2 spliceosomal RNA